rnacentral:rRNA from 1 species
UACGUAGGGUGCAAGCGUUAAUCGGAAUUACUGGGCGUAAAGGGCUCGUAGGCGGCCAACUAAGUCAGACGUGAAAUCCCUCGGCUUAACCGGGGAACUGCAUCUGAUACUGGAUGGCUUGAGUUUGGGAGAGGGAUGCGGAAUUCCAGGUGUAGCGGUGAAAUGCGUAGAUAUCUGGAGGAACACCGGUGGCGAAGGCGGCAUCCUGGACCAACACUGACGCUGAGGAGCGAAAGCCAGGGGAGCAAACGGG